AACUGCGUGGUGAGCACAAAGCCAACUAUUCUUUUGCCUUUUACUAAAGAAUACCGUGUGCUCACCAUAAUUAGCAGUAUACGCUAAUUUUUGGAGAAUGCUUUCCUAAUUAUUA
rfam:Zea mays cultivar B73 chromosome 6, whole genome shotgun sequence.